AGGAGAUGUAUCAUUAGCAUCUAAUAAAAGGUUGUGACUAGAUCAACUUUCUUACUUUCCCUGGUUGUCCCUGAUAAAGAGAGAGAAUGGAUGGCAGAGCCGCCCUUAAUCCUUUUGCUCCCAAGUGUAAGGCUUAACAACUGCUUGAGGUAUGGAUAUUUGGCAGGAGCCACUCUUUUAGGAGGAGCCACCAACUUGGACCAUGAGUAGGAAGACCAUGCCUGAGGGAAAACAAAGGAGGCUCAUUCCAGGAAGAUUUCAUCAAGCCCACACAAUCGCCAUGGGGCUGUAAAUGAGGUCUCUCUUGAAUGAAUUCUACAUAGCCUUGGGCUUUAUGUACUGUGCCACGAAAUUCCAGCCUCCUUCACCUCUCUGAACUCUGGUGUGUGUGUCUUUAAUUCGGUGAGAUCAAUGGGAUCUUCCUGUGUUUGCCCUCCCAUAGAAGGCACCAUGUUUUGUAAUGUGUCUUCAUGAAAAAAGCCGUGAUGAUAUCAGUCUCAGUCUCAGUCUCUGCUUUUUUCCCUUCUGUCUCUCUCUCCUUUUUUUUUUUUUUUUUUUUUUUAGACGGAGUUUCACUCUUGUUGCCCAGGCUGGAGUGCAAUGGUGCGAUCUCGGCUCACCACAAUCUCCGCCUCCUGGGUUCAAGCGAUUCUCAUGCCUCAGCCUUCCAAAUAGCUGGGAUUACAGGAGUGCGCCA
rnacentral:lncRNA from 1 species